AUGAACGCUGGCGGCGUGCUUAACACAUGCAAGUCGAACGAGAAGUGGAGACGGAAACCUUCGGGCGGAAGACUUUAUUUCGAGUGGCGGACGGGUGAGUAACGCGUGGGUAACCUGCCUCAUACAGGGGGAUAACAGUUGGAAACGACUGUUAAUACCGCAUAAGACCACAGCACCGCAUGGCGCGGGGGGAAAAACUCCGGUGGUAUGAGAUGGACCCGCGUUCGAUUAGCCAGUUGGCGGGGUAACGGCCCACCACAGCGACGAUCGAUAGCCGAUCUGAGAGGAUGACCGGCCACAUUGGGACUGAGACACGGCCCAAACUCCUACGGGAGGCAGCAGUGGGGAAUAUUGCACAAUGGGGGAAACCCUGAUGCAGCGACGCCGCGUGAGUGAAGAAGUAUUUCGGUAUGUAAAGCUCUAUCAGCAGGGAAGAAAAUGACGGUACCUGAGUAAGAAGCCCCGGCUAACUACGUG
rnacentral:rRNA from 1 species